rnacentral:lncRNA from 1 species
GGAUAGAAACAUGACAAUCACAUGCACUCCCUGUGCAAGGGAGGAGUCUGCCCACUUGAGGUCUAUACCGUAAACACUCCCCAGAUUUUAGCCAAGAUACAGGGCAUUGAAAUUAUUUGGUCCCAUAGUGUCUAUGAUGGGAGCAGCUUUCCUUGGAAUGCAGAGAAGUUUUGCAUCUCCAGAGGAUGAAGCUUGGUUUGACUUAAAGACAGUCCCAGUGACAUCAUGGCUGAAAACCAUGUAAAAUAUGGGACAGGCUUAAUUGACAAUGAUUUUCACACAGGCACAGUGAGGCAUGAAGAAAUAACAUGGCAAGAACCGCACAGUUUUCCAGUAUGCUUGGAAAGAGAAGAGAAGAGAAGAGAAGAGAAGAGAAGAGAAGAGAAGAGAAGAGAAGAGAAGAGAAGAGAAGAGAAGAGAAGAGAAGAGAAGAGGAG